GCUGCGCCACAUCACGCGCCACCAUCCCCAGCCGCUGCAGCACCAGCACCACCGUCUUCUCUUGCUCUAGCAACUAUCCUGUUAUAGCAUUUGUUCAUCUCAACCUCCCAUAGGGCCAUAAUUUCCACUGGCAAACCAUGGUCACUUUCUAUUUCAAAUUUCGUGGUAAAAUAGGCGUUCCUUUUAGUCACUCCACAAGAGAUGUUUUCUGGGCGGGAGAAGGUUUGGUUAUGAAUGACUUCUGUAAUGAUUCUCAAACAGGUUUCAACCUCUCUUCCAAUGAGAGUGAGAGUGAGAGCUGGAAGCAAUUCAAACUGAAAUCGGCAUGAAACCCGAACACGCCCUUUAGAUAUUAUCCUUUUGUAAUCUGCUACGUAUGCCCCCACAUUCCAGAUUCUGAGAAAAAAGGGAAAAUUUCAAAUGUCAAAAAGAUUGUUUCAAGAAUUAAAGAAAAUUACUGUUUUUGAAUGAAAUCUAAGGAUGUCAAUCCGGCCAGCCCAUCAGAUUUCGGGUUAAUCGAAUUCCGAUAAGCCCGAUUUAUAAUUGGGUUGCGAUUUUUCAACCCUAAUCCUCUAAUUUUGUCGGAUUUCAGGCUGGAUCGACAUCCCUAGAAAUCUUCAUGAAGAUUGAAUGAAACAAACUUGCGGCCCGCCAUGGAGUAGGAGUCGGCGGCGAUUGUGACAGACUUGAAAUCUUCAGUAUUAGUCCGUAAAUCCCCUUCGCACAAUUUUACCAACGCUGAAAAUCUUCUCAUAUAUAUAUAUUUGGUAAAACACAAUUUGACCUUUUUUUAUUCAAAUCUCUUUUUUAAUUUUUUGUUUUUUUAGGUUAUAUCUCCGUAUAAAACCCCUUGGCUCAAACUUACCGUUUUAUUUUCAAAAACGCUACAAAAGUCCACAUAUCAUAGAAGAUUUGCUUCUCUCUCUCAUUCAGUUCCUCGAAUAUGGCCCAAAUACUCACGUGACAAUAAUUUCAAAAUUAUACUUAGUGUGUGGUAAAGUACUAUAAAACUAGCGUGUGACCCGUCGAAUUUAUAAUUAAUAUUAUAAAUUAUAAAAAAAAAUGUAGGUUAUUUAUGUCCAUACCCGCGAGCGAAGGCUGUAUCCGCCACAUGUGACCCGCAACGGAUACUCUUUGCC
rnacentral:lncRNA from 1 species